rnacentral:rRNA from 1 species
CCUGUAUACCCAGGUAGUAACAAGAGAGUUUGAUCCUGGCUCAGAUUGAACGCUGGCGGGAUGCUUUACACAUGCAAGUCGAACGGCAGCACGGACUUCGGUUCAGGCGGAGUGGCGAACGGGAGCAAUGUAUCGAACGCUCUAGUAGCGGGGAUAACUACGCGCGAAAGGUAGCUAAUACCGCACAUUCCGGGAAAGUGCUGGACCUUCUGGGCCCCAACAUUAGAGCGGCCGAUAUUCGGAUUAGCCAGUUGGUGGGUAACGGCUCACCAAGGCGACGAUCCGUAGCUGGUUUGAGAGGACGACCAGCCACACUGGGACUGAGACACGGUCUGUGACUCCCAUUGAAAAAGCAGUGGGAAUUUUGACAAUGGGAAACUCUUGAUCCAGCCAUCCUGGCAGUGUGAUGAAGGCCUUCUCGGAAGCACUUUUGGCAGGAAACGGCACGGACUCCCGUGCAACUGACGGCACCUUUAAUAAGCACCGGCUAAAUCACACGUGCCAGCAGCCGCAGGCAAUACGUGGCAGCAAGAAUCGGAAUUACUGGGCAGCGUGCGCAGGCGGUUCUCGGAAAGAAAGAUGAAAUCCCAGAGCUUAACUUGGAACUGCAUUUAACCGGAGCCAGAGUAAAGUGCGUCGUGAGGGAGGGAAUUCCGGUGGUAGCAGUGAAAUGCGUGGUAGAUAUGCGGAGGAUGGCGCAAAAGGCAGCCUCCUGAUAACACUGACGCUCAUGCAUCGAAAGCGUGGGGAGCAAACAGGAUUAGAUACCCCGCUUGGUAGCCAUCAUCUCUAAACGAUGUCAACUAGUCGUUGGGGCCUUCGGGCCUUGCAGUAGCGCAGCUAACGAAGUUGACCGCCUGGGGAGUACGGUCGCAAGAUUAAACUCCACAAAGUGAAUUGACGGGGACCCCGCACAAGUGGUGGAUGAUGUGGAUUAACUGAUGCAACGCGAAAACCUUACCUGCCCUGAUAUGUCUGAAUCCUUCCGAAGAGAUUUGGGAGUGCUCGCAAGAGAACCGGAACAUUAGUGCUGCAUGGCUGUCGUCAGCUCGUGUCGUGGAGAUGUUGGGUUAAGUCCAACGAGCGCACCCUUGUCAUUAGUUGCCACGAAGGGCACUCUAAUGAGACUGCCGGUGACAAACCGGAGGAAGGUGGGGAUGACGUCAAGUCCUCAUGGCCCUUUAUGGGUAGGGCUUCACACGUCAUACAAUGGUCGGGACAGAGGGUCGCCAACCCGCGAGGGGAGCCAAUCCCAGAAAACCCGAUCGUAGUCCGACUGAUCGCAGUCUUGCAACUCGACUGCGUGAAGUCGGAAUCGCUAGUAAUCGCGGAUCAGCAUGUCGCGGUGAAUACGUUCCCCGGUCUGUACACACCGCCCGUCACACCAUGGGAGUGGGUUUUACCAGAAGUAGUUAGCCUAACCGUAAGGAGGGCGAUUACCACGGUAGGAUUCAUGACUGGGGUGAAGUCAAAAACAACAAGGU